CAAUGUGACAUCAAGCCCAUCAGGGCCAGACUCCUUGAGCACCUCAUGACGGUACUUAGCAGCAAAGGCUGCACCAGUGGCAACAGGAAUGCCCUCUCCGAUGAAGGCAAAGCCUCCCAGGAGGUUGUGGGGAGCAGAGAACAUGUGCAUGGAACCACCCUGUCCACGGCAGCAGCCUGUGGCCUUGCCAAAGAGCUCAGCCAUGACAGAACGUGCCGGGACACCCUUGGACAGCGCAUGGACAUGAUCACGGUAUGUGCUAACAACACAGUCAGCUUGGUUCAGAAGUUUGAUGAAGCCAGUGGAGACAGCCUCCUGGCCAUUGUAAAGGUGGACGAAACCAAACAUCUUGCCACGGUAGUACAUUUGUGCACACAUGUCCUCGAAUACACGGCCAAGAACCAUGUCCUCAUACAGCUCCAGUGCCUCUUCCCGGGUAACCGCCUGGAGAAAACGAUAGACCAUGAAUUACGUACACAACACAGUGUUCUGCAACUUGAACAGACUUGCAGCAACAGAAAAACAAAUAAGACAUUUUCCAUGUCUAAGCAGUACUCCCUCCGUUUCGUUUUAGUUGUCGCUGGAUAGUGCAAAAUUGAACUAUCCAGCGACAACUAAAAAGAAACGGAGGGAGUACUAGUUAGGUAAGCUAGGUGACAGAAGAUAGUAUGACUGUAUCAGUUCAGUCCUGAGUCUCAAGACACUGAUACCUCAUCAGACUUGCAGCUGCAGGCAUGAACAGAGCUAACUGGUGGAUCUAUUAAAAAAUAUGUGGUGAAAACUACAAUUUCAGCUGUCAAUCAGUGACAUUAUGUUAACUAAACAACUGUCUCCAUUCAUAGGUAUCCGAUCACAAAUGAGCAGUAUCCGAGAGCGAGAAGACAACUUCAGCAGCACUUUUAGAGCACAGGGGAGUCAUCACCAUGAAAUUCAGGAGGCCACGAUAUCCUUUCACCUUUCAUUCCAAAGCUGGGAGGUAAAGUUUUGUGAGAUUUACGCUUAUGCAUCCCGAAUUGCGACUACAAAGUACUACUGUGGGAUGCAACCAGCCAAAUCGUCGUUAAACUAGAAACCAUAUCACUCAUCGGAAUUUCAGACUCGUGAGAUCCAAUCGCGCAGCACAGUUAAACUGUAAAGAGCGCCCAAGAUCGGGUUUUUACACUGCGUCGGCACCCAAGAUCGCUUUUUUCUCUCUGAAGUAACAGGAGAGAGCAACGUAGAAAAGGUAUUCCAUACCGGAUGCGCGGCGGCGGCCUGCGCGGCCUUGUUCCCAGCGAGCAGGUCGGAGGAGACGGCGAGCGCGGUGCGCAGGCGCGGGUGGUGCACCGCGCCGCGGCGCAGGGUCCUGGCGAAGGAGGAGGACGAGGCGCCGGCGGGGAGCGGGGGCGCCCUCUCUCCGCCGGAUCUCGCGGCCACCGGCGCCAGGAACUUGGCGGCGGUGAAGGACGCGGCCGCCAUCUCUGCCCUCUCCGCUGUCUCCU
rnacentral:lncRNA from 1 species